rnacentral:lncRNA from 1 species
AGUCGUAAUAAAUAGAAAUGAAGACCUUACAGUCACUUUUAGUGUCCUUUAGUUGCAUCUGAUUGCAAAUUAUUCAUAGUAAUUUCAUGGACUUUAUUGCAUACCAUACAUAAUAACAAUAUCCAAACCGACUUUGAAUUAGUAUGGUUUACCUUUGAAUCAAAUGUGGGACAAGCAUGAGAAAUAAACACAGAAAAUAAAUAAGGAAAACAAGAAGCACGCACACAAGAAAACGAG